AGUAAAACUAAUGCGAUGGCCAAAAGCCGAAACACUGGUUUUACUUGUAAUGUUUUGACUUCCAUUGUCCUCCAAUAGUUGCUGAAUCUCCCCUUUUAGUUUGCUCUUCAGUUCAUGCACCUUGGUUGGAGAGCGAGGUUGUGGCAGUGCUCCCUUUCCUUUGGUGAAUGAGUCCAGCCAUAUUCUUCAUAACGCAUCACACUACUCAGUGUGGCAGAGAAAUGUGGAAAGAUUAGUAAGUAUUGGUAUUUCGUCUGCUUUGAUGUGCUAUGCUGUUCCCACUGAAUGUCUUCUCUCGUUUGAAUUUAACCUUGCCAGAUGUUAUUUUCCUCAUGGUGAUAAAGGCAAACAUUUAGCUCUGCAGAUGUGCUUGACAUUCAUUUUGAGAUGGUGUGAUUGUAUGUUGCAACAGACAUUCUUCACUAAUUAUGACGACAUACUUUUCCCUUUCAGCAGAUUAGGUCCUCAGCCAGCAGUACAUCUCCAGGGAACUCUGUUCUGGGUGGUUUUCUUGACCUUAUUCCAUGUGGUUCCUGCCUUCUUAAUUUCCUCCUCACUUCCAUGGUAUAUUCUCUCUCACGGAGGACCUGAGCACUAGGACUACCUGGCCUGAUGACUCCUUGCUGUCCCCAGUCCAUCUGGUCGUGCUGCUGCUCCAGUUUCAACUGUUCUGCCUGCGGGUGUGGAACCCUGACCUGUUCACCGGACGGGCUCCCUCUCCCAGACCUGCUGUUUUCAACUCUGGAGACAGCAAGCGCGGUAGAGAUGCUAUGAAAAGCCAACUGACAUUUACUCCUGAGGUGCUGACCUGUUGUACCCUCUACAACCACUGUGAUUAUUAUUCGACCCUGCUGGUCAUCUGAACGUUUGACAGCCAGAAGAGGACUGGCCACCCCU
ensembl:lncRNA